rnacentral:rRNA from 1 species
AUAGCGUAUAUUAAAGUUGUUGCGGUUAAAAAGCUCGUAGUUGAAUCUGUGUCCCACGCUGUCGGUUCACCGCUCGCGGUGUCUAACUGGCAUGAUUGUGGGACGUCCUACCGGUGGGCUUAGCCCUCCGGGGCGGCCCAACUAAUAUCCCAUCGCGGUGCUCUUCACUGAGUGUCGAGGUGGGCCGGUACGUUUACUUUGAACAAAUUAGAGUGCUUAAAGCAGGCUAUUUUCGCCUGAAUACUGUGUGCAUGGAAUAAUGGAAUAGGACCUCGGUUCUAUUUUGUUGGUUUUCGGAACCCCGAGGUAAUGAUUAAUAGGGACAGAUGGGGGCAUUCGUAUUGCGACGUUAGAGGUGAAAUUCUUGGAUCGUCGCAAGACGGACAGAAGCGAAAGCAUUUGCCAAAAAUGUUUUCUUUAAUCAAGAACGAAAGUUAGAGGUUCGAAGGCGAUCAGAUACCGCCCUAGUUCUAACCAUAAACGAUGCCAGCUAGCGAUCCGCCGAAGUUCCUCCGAUGACUCGGCGGGCAGCUUCCGGGAAACCAAAGCUUUUGGGUUCCGGGGGAAGUAUGGUUGCAAAGCUGAAACUUAAAGGAAUUGACGGAAGGGCACCACCAGGAGUGGAGCCUGCGGCUUAAUUUGACUCAACACGGGAAACCUCACCAGGCCCGGACACCGGAAGGAUUGACAGAUUGAGAGCUCUUUCUUGAUUCGGUGGGUGGUGGUGCAUGGCCGUUCUUAGUUGGUGGAGCGAUUUGUCUGGUUAAUUCCGAUAACGAACGAGACUCUAGCCUGCUAAAUAGGCGUACUUUCCGGUAUCUCGAAGGCCCCCGGCUUCGGUCGGGCGGUUUUUACUACCGGCGUACAAAUAAAUCUUCUUAGAGGGACAGGCGGCUUCUAGCCGCACG